rnacentral:tRNA from 1 species
CAUCAAGUAGCUCAAAAGGUAGAGCGUCUGGCUCGACACCAGAAGGUUGCGGGUUCAAUUCCCGUCUCGACUG